rnacentral:misc_RNA from 1 species
GAAAUGCGAUAAGUAGUGUGAAUUGCAGAAUUCAGUGAAUCAUCGAAUCUUUGAACGCACAUUGCGCCCCUUGGUAUUCCAUGGGGCAUGCCUGUUCGAGCGUCAUUUGAACCCUCAAGCUUUGCUUGGUGUUGGGUGUUUGUCCCGCCUUUGCGUGUGGACUCGCCUUAAAGUCAUUGGCAGCCAUGUAAUUCGGCUUUGAGCGCAGCACAUUGCGAUCUCUCUGCUGGUACAUUGGCAUCCAGAAGCCUUUUUUUUACGCUUGACCUCGGAUCAGGUAGGGAUACCCGCUGAACUUAAGC